UAAACAAACUUUAUUAUACAACCAGCUUGUAAAAUAUUGAAUGACACUGAAGGAUGGUGCCAACUGGCUGGUAGGUGUUAUAAAGAAUAUAAAACACACAACAGAAAUGGUCUUACUUAUAUUAGCAUAUUUAGAUAUGCCAAACAUAAAAUGAUGUUAAGUGAAUGUUAAUAUUGCAAAGGUUGCAAAAUUUUGAAGUUGCACGUGCAUCUUAACUCUGUUCCUUUUAGUGUAUCCUUUAUGAUGCAUUCUGUAACUAAAUGGUCACAUACUAUUUCUCAAAUAAUACAGUAACAAUAACAUACUUUUCUCUUAUGCAUCUAGCAUCCCAUAGUGCUUUGGCCUAGAACAGACAUUCAUUUCUAAUGGUCAAAGUUUCUGAGAAAUUUCCACUGCUAGAAAUCAUUCUGGGAGAGGGAGCAGUACAGCCCUUUAAUCUGAAGUUGCUCCUUCUCCAUCCUUUUCACGCCUUCCCUACACCGGGAUGAUCCUGGUCUUUGGAAGCCAUAGGAAAAAAAGGCUGCCCCACUUCCUCCAGACAGUUGACACCUGAAAGAUCUUUUUCCUGGAGGGGACAUGUUUCCCUUGGGAGAAAUUGAAUGAAUGCUUGUAUGUUUGUUGCUUCAAUCAGCACAGUGGUGAUUUUCCUGGUAAUGUAAUGCCUGUAUGGGGCCUUUGUGUUUGUCAGACAGAGGAUCUAAAAAUCAUCUGUACAAAAAGUAAGUUUGCAUAAUACAUUAUUGAUCAAAUAUUACAACAAAGUAAUAGUGAACUUUUAUUGGUAUGUAUAAAUCCACAAAGUCUGCAGAUAAAUCACUUCAGUAGUUAAGUGUCUCAUCCCCCAAUAUGCAUCUAAAGUACUAUAAUCUAUUUCCUACUGGCUGAAAAAAGAACGAAGACAUUUUUCAAUACAUGGCCAAAUACUGCUCUUUUCUGAGUAACUUUAGGGGGAAGGAGUUGCUCAAUUCUGACAAAUCCUGGCAUUUGUUAUUUCUCUUUAAUGCGUAACAUAAAAGUCUUAUUAAAUAAUAUCGUAAUUAAUACCUACCAAAAUGCAUAGAGGUGAGGAAAGGAGUUAAAAUAGUAUGUGCAACUUUAACUUUGCAAUUCUUGACUUUUGAACAUGUAACUGCUUAAACUUAAUAUUCUGUUAAUAUGGUCUCUUAGGUGGGGUUUUUAUUAAGAGAAAAAAAGUCACAGAAAAAAGAAUCUGAAUCUUCCCUUCUCCUGACUUAUGCUGUGAGCAUCUUUAUCCAGACACAGGGUCCACUCAAUUCUACUGACUGGUAUUGAUAUUGGUAUUUAUUCCCCUGCUUUUUCAAGGCCUGCAGUUGUUUUGGGCCUCUCUCUAGGAAAUGAUGGUUAUGUUAGCAUGAGAGCUGUCCUGUCAAGGCUUGGCAAACAGAAGACAAAAAAGGAAGAACACCACAAAGCAAAGACCUAGACCUCAGCACCCUUGAAAAGAUCUGAAAGCACUCCAGUGUGUUGCAGCACCAUUACUGAGCAUCACUGGCUUAAACACUGAACUUUAGAAUUCACAGGAGUAAUAUUAACUGCAGCAAAUGGAAGUAAAUCCAAGGCAUGAUGAGGUUCGUAAUAUGGUUAGACACAAACCCGUGCCAGGAACUUAGUGACUUUUCUGAAUAUCUAAGAAACGUCAUUGCUAAAUAAUAGAAGCCAGAGAAUCUAGGAGACAUUUUAAAAUA